rnacentral:rRNA from 1 species
AGACCCGAAACCCGGUGAUCUAGCCAUGGGCAGGUUGAAGGUUGGGUAACACUAACUGGAGGACCGAACCGACUAAUGUUGAAAAAUUAGCGGAUGACCUGUGGCUGGGGGUGAAAGGCCAAUCAAACCGGGAGAUAGCUGGUUCUCCCCGAAAGCUAUUUAGGUAGCGCCUCGUGAAUUCAUCUCCGGGGGUAGAGCACUGUUUCGGCUAGGGGGCCAUCCCGGCUUACCAACCCGAUGCAAACUGCGAAUACCGGAGAAUGUUAUCACGGGAGACACACGGCGGGUGCUAACGUCCGUCGUGAAGAGGGAAACAACCCAGACCGCCAGCUAAGGUCCCAAAGUCAUGGUUAAGUGGGAAACGAUGUGGGAAGGCCCAGACAGCCAGGAUGUUGGCUUAGAAGCAGCCAUCAUUUAAAGAAAGCGUAAUAGCUCACUGGUCGAGUCGGCCUGCGCGGAAGAUGUAACGGGGCUAAACCAUGCACCGAAGCUGCGGCAGCGACGCUUAUGCGUUGUUGGGUAGGGGAGCGUUCUGUAAGCCUGUGAAGGUGGCCUGUGAGGGUUGCUGGAGGUAUCAGAAGUGCGAAUGCUGACAUAAGUAACGAUAAAGCGGGUGAAAAGCCCGCUCGCCGGAAGACCAAGGGUUCCUGUCCAACGUUAAUCGGGGCAGGGUGAGUCGACCCCUAAGGCGAGGCCGAAAGGCGUAGUCGAUGGGAAACGGGUUAAUAUUCCCGUACUUGGUGUUACUGCGAAGGGGGGACGGAGAAGGCUAUGUUGGCCGGGCGACGGUUGUCCCGGUUUAAGCGUGUAGGCUGGUUUUCCAGGCAAAUCCGGAAAAUCAAG